AGCGAACGCUGGCGGCAGGCCUAACACAUGCAAGUCGAACGAACCUUUCGGGGUUAGUGGCGGACGGGUGAGUAACACGUGGGAACGUGCCUUUAGGUUCGGAAUAACUCAGGGAAACUUGUGCUAAUACCGAAUGUGCCCUUCGGGGGAAAGAUUAAUCGCCUUUAGAGCGGCCCGCGUCUGAUUAGCUAGUUGGUUGAGGUAAUGGCUCACCAAGGCGACGAUCAGUAGCUGGUCUGAGAGGAUGAUCAGCCAUAUUGGGACUGAGACACGGCCCAAACUCCUACGGGAGGCAGCAGUGGGGAAUCUUGCGCAAUGGGCGAAAGCCUGACGCAGCCAUGCCGCGUGAAUGAUGAAGGUCUUAGGAUUGUAAAAUUCUUUCACCGGGGACGAUAAUGACGGUACCCGGAGAAGAAGCCCCGGCUAACUUCGUG
rnacentral:rRNA from 1 species